GAUGAACGCUGGCGGCGUGCCUAACACACGCAAGUCGAACGAAGCACCUUACCUGAUUCUUCGGAUGAAAGUUUGGUGACUGAGUGGCGGACGGGUGAGUAACGCGUGGGUAACCUGCCCUGUACAGGGGGAUAACAGCUGGAAACGGCUGCUAAUACCGCAUAAGCGCACGAGGAGACAUCUCCUUGUGUGAAAAACUCCGGUGGUACAGGAUGGGCCCGCGUCUGAUUAGCUGGUUGGCAGGGUAACGGCCUACCAAGGCAACGAUCAGUAGCCGGUCUGAGAGGAUGAACGGCCACAUUGGAACUGAGACACGGUCCAAACUCCUACGGGAGGCAGCAGUGGGGAAUAUUGCACAAUGGGGGAAACCCUGAUGCAGCAACGCCGCGUGAGUGAAGAAGUAUUUCGGGUUGUAAAGCUCUAUCAGCAGGGAAGAUAAUGACGGUACCUGACUAAGAAGCUCCGGCUAAAUACGUG
rnacentral:rRNA from 1 species